GAUGCCUGGAGUCACUGAAAAGAGAAUCAGGAAAGAUCAUAGAUAAUUAUACCCAGAACCGGCACAGGUGCCCCUAGGUGAGAAACCUAAGGUGUGAAGGUGUAAUCUAGUUAAGGGAAUUCGGCAAAUUAGCCCCGUAGCUUCGGUUUAAGGGGUCCCUGCGCUUGUAUCUGUAUAGGUGCGACUGCAGGGUGCAAUUACUAAGAGGGUCCGACUGUUUAACAAAAACUUAACCAACUGCUACGCUGUGAAGCUUUGUAUAGUUGGUGACGUCUGCCCAGUGUCAGUACUUUAAAGCCUUUUUCAAGAGGCCCAAGAGCUGAUAAACGGCGGGGGUAACUAUAACUCUCUUAAGGUAGCGAAAUGCCUUGCCGUUUGAUUGACGGCUUGCAUGAAUGGCGUAACGAGACCCUCACUGUCCCUAACUAGAAUCCUCCGAACACUCUUUACUGGUGCAAAGGCCAGUGAUAUCCAGUGGGAAGUGAAGACCCCGUGAAACUUUACUGUAGCCUGCAGCUGCGGUGUGGCUUCUGUUGUAUAGCGUAAGUGGGAGUUGUCAAAACUUGAUCGCCAGAUUAAGUGUAGACGUCUAUGUAACACCACUCUUCAGAAUUUACAUUGCUUACUCGCAUUGCGAGAACACCUGUUGGUGGACAGUUUGGCUGGGGUGGCACUCCGCUGAAAGAAUAUCAGCGGAGCCCAAAGGUUGGCUCAACCGGGUCAGAAAUCCGGUGUAGAGUGCAAAGGCAAAAGCCAGCCUGAUUGGAGUCCUAAUAAGAUGGAAUCCAAAAGCGAAAGCUUGGCUUAGCGAACUUCCAUAGCUCCUUGAUGGGGCUUGGAAAUGACCGAAAAGUUACUCCGGGGAUAACAGAGUUGUCGCGCCUGAGAGCUCAAAUCGACGGCGCGGCUUGCUACAUCGAUGUCGGCUCUUCCUAACCUGGGCGUGCAGCAGCGCCCAAGGGUGGGGGUGUUCACCCAUUAAAAGGGAUCGUGAGCUGGGUUCAGAACGUUGUGAGACAGUUUGUUUAAUAUCUACUGGAUAUGUUUUAGUGUCUGAAAGGAAGGAAGCAAUAGUACGAGAGGAACUUGCUUUCGGAGCCUCUAGUCUAUCGGUUAUCUGACAAGGUAUGCCGAGCAGCCACGCUCUAAGAGAUAAGUGCUGAAAGCAUCUAAGCACGAAGCCCGCCUUGAAAAGAGACAUGAGGAUACUCAUAGAAGAUGAGUUUGAUAGGACUGUGGUGUAAGUACCAAGGCAACGAGGUAUUCAGCCAGCAGUUACUAAUAGUCCAUAUUUAAUCUU
rnacentral:rRNA from 1 species